UUUUUGCAAAAAAAAAAAAAAUGUGAUUGAGAUUUUGAGAGGAAUUGCCCUGAAUCUGUAGACAGCUUUCAGUAGUAUUGAUGUUUGAACAAUAUGAAGCCUUCAAGUUCAUGAAAAUGAGAUGUGCUUCCAUUUAUGUACGUCCUCUUUAAUUCAACAGUGUUUUGUAGUUUUCAUUGUACAGGUCUUUUCUCUUUGGUCAAGUCAGUUCUAAGCAUUCUAUUCUUUUUUUGAUACUGUUGUGAAUGGAAUAGUUUUUAUGAUUUCCUUUUCAGAUUGUUCAUUAUUCUUGCAUAGAAAUGAAACUGAAUUUUGUGUAUUGACUUUGUAUCAUGAUACUUAUGAGAUUAUUUAUUAGAUCUAACAGUUUUGUGAAAUCAUUUGGAUUUUCUAUUUAAAAGAUUAUAUCAUCCACAAACAUGAUUUUACUUGUUCCUUUUAAAUUCAGAUGCCUUUUUUGGGUGGAUAAUUUUCAGCUGUGUCACUGAGCCUUAGUAAUUUUACUAAUCCUCUUUGAAUAGAAUUUUUUUUAACUUUAAUUUCUCUUUCUUACUUAAUUGCUCUGGCUAGAACUUCCGGCACUAUGCUGCUUGGAAGUGCUGCAAGUAGUGCUGAAAGUAGUCAUCCUUAGCUUGUUCCCCAUCUUAGAGGAAACACUGUCAGUUUUUCACCAUUGAGGAUGAUGUUUGGUUGGGUUCUUCAUAUAUGGACUUUAUUAUGUGGAGGAGAUUCCUUUUAUUUCUAGGUCACUGAGUGCUUUAUCAUGCAAGGAUGUUCAGUUUUAUAAAAUGCUUUUUCCGUGUCAAUUGAGGUGAUCAUGUGGGUUUUUUCUUUCAUUUUGUUCACGUGGCUUAUUACAUUGGUCAGUUUUCUUAUAUUGAACCAUCCUUGCAUUCCAUGAAUAAAUUCCAUUUGGUUUAUUUUUAAGAUUUUGCAUCAGUGUUUGGCUAGGUUUGGGUUUAGUUUGCUUUUUUUUCUAGUUUCUUAAGUUGUAAAGUUAGGUUGUUAAUUUGAGAUUUUUCCUGUUUGUUAAUGUAAGUGUUUAUAGCUAUCAGUUUCCCCACUGGUACCAUGUUCACUGUGUCCUGUAAGUUUGAUGUGUUUUCAUUUUUGUCUCUCUCAGUAUUUUAUAAUUUCCCUUGUGGGUUCUUCUUCAAUACAUUAGUGCUUUAAAAGUGUGUUGUUUAAUUUCUGCAGUUUUAUGAAUUUUCCAGUUUUCCUUCUGUUUUUUCUAACUUCAUCCCAUUGUGGUUAGAGAGGAUACUUUGUAUGACAGCUAUCUUUUAAAAUCUAGUAAGACUUAGGAGUUCCCGUCAUGGCGCAUUUUGCUGGAUAUAGGACUCCUGUGUUGAUAGUUUUUUUUUCUCUGACCACUUUGAAUAUGUCAGCCUACUCUCUGCUGGCCUCCAAAGUUUCUGAUAAGAAGUCUGCUGAUAAUCUUAUUGAGGAUCCCUUGUGCAUGAGGAUUUACUUCUAACUUACUGACUUCAAGAUUCUCUUGGUCUUUUUUUUUAAAGUUUGAUUAUAAUAUGUUUUGGUGUGGGUAUCUUUGAAUUAAUCUUACUUUGAGUUUGUUGAGCUUCCUGGAUAUUUUAUUUUUUUCAUGGAUCAUAUACAUAUGUCCAUUUAUUUAUGGAGAGCUUCCUGGAUAUUUUAACAUGUAUUUUUAUGUGGGAAAAAGUCAAUGUGCACAGGAGAAUUAUGAUAGGACAUCUUUUAAAAAAUAGUGUAUCAUUUUUGUCUGACUAGAGGAUAGCUCUAAAUAUAUGACAGUGGGAUUAAGGAAUUGUUUCUUAUUUUGUGGAUUUCAGUUGUUUAGAUUUUGCUAACAAAUAUGCAUUGCUUCCCACCUCCUUUAGAGAGAGAGCUUACAGAAUUAUAAAAGCAAAACAUUAAAAUCAUUUAAAUAAUAUAGAAGUAAGUGAAGUGCAUAUCUCACUUCCACUCCCCAGGGAUAAUCUCUUCUGGUUGAUGGUUUGUCUUUUCAGAAAAUUAGGUGCUGGUAGUAGGCAAAUGAAAGAAACAAAAUACAUCAAAAUUGGAAAGAAAACUGUCACCAUUCACAGUUGAUGUGAUCGUAUGUGUUGAAAACGGAGCAAGAUUUAUAGUAGAACUAUUAGAACUAAAACAUGAACUUAGCAAGGUUUCUAGACACAGGAUCAGUACACAAAAAGAUCAGUUAUAUUUCUACUUACUAGCAAAAGUCAAAUAAAAGUAAAAAUUUUAGAUACCAUUUAAAAAUAAAAUAUAUAAGAAUAAAUCUAUUGGCACAGCCCUGGAAAUCAACUAUAAUAAAAUUUUUUUAAGAAGAAUAAAUCUAGCAAAGAAUUUGUAUGAUCUCUAUGCUGAAAACUAUAAAACAGUACUAAAAAAAUUAAAGACGCCCUAAAGCAGGGAUUUACCAUGUUCGUGGAUUGAACAACAUCUUGAACUGUUAUUAAGAUGUCAGUUCUUCCCAAAUUGAUCUUAUGGAUUGACAUCCCAAUCAAAAUCCCAAUAGGCCAUUUGGAGAAGUGGGUGGAAAUUGGCAAGCUGAUUGUAAAACAUAAAUAUAAAUGCAAAGGACCCUGGAACCGCCAGAAUAAUCUUGAAGAAGAAGAAAGCCCGAGGACUUACACUGUAUAGGAUCCAGACUUAGUUUAGCUGUAGCUGUUGGUACAAAAGCAGAUCAGUAGACCAGUGCAGUAGAAUAGAAGGUCCAGAAACAGACCC
rnacentral:lncRNA from 1 species